rnacentral:rRNA from 1 species
GACGAACGCUGGCGGCGUGCUUAACACAUGCAAGUCGAACGGAAAGACCCUGCUUUUGUGGGGUGCUCGAGUGGCGAACGGGUGAGUAACACGUGAGUAACCUGCCCUUGACUUUGGGAUAACUUCAGGAAACUGGGGCUAAUACCGGAUAGGAGCUCCUGCUGCAUGGGGGGGGUUGGAAAGUUUCGGCGGUUGGGGAUGGACUCGCGGCUUAUCAGCUGGUUGGUGGGGUAGUGGCUUACCAAGGCUUUGACGGGUAGCCGGCCUGAGAGGGUGAACGGCCACAUUGGGACUGAGAUACGGACCAGACUCCUACGGGAGGCAGCAGUGGGGAAUAUUGCACAAUGGGCGGAAGCCUGAUGAAGCAACGCCGCGUGCGGGAUGACGGCCUUCGGGUUGUAAACCGCUUUCGCCUGUGACGAAGCGUGAGUGACGGUAAUGGGUAAAGAAGCACCGGCUAACUACGUG